AUUGAACGCUGGCGGCAGGCCUAACACAUGCAAGUCGAGCGGAUGACGGGAGCUUGCUCCUUGAUUCAGCGGCGGACGGGUGAGUAAUGCCUAGGAAUCUGCCUGGUAGUGGGGGACAACGUUUCGAAAGGAACGCUAAUACCGCAUACGUCCUACGGGAGAAAGCAGGGGACCUUCGGGCCUUGCGCUAUCAGAUGAGCCUAGGUCGGAUUAGCUAGUAGGUGAGGUAAUGGCUCACCUAGGCGACGAUCCGUAACUGGUCUGAGAGGAUGAUAAGUCACACUGGAACUGAGACACGGUCCAGACUCCUACGGGAGGCAGCAGUGGGGAAUAUUGGACAAUGGGCGAAAGCCUGAUCCAGCCAUGCCGCGUGUGUGAAGAAGGUCUUCGGAUUGUAAAGCACUUUAAGUUGGGAGGAAGGGCAGUAAGUUAAUACCUUGCUGUUUUGACGUUACCGACAGAAUAAGCACCGGCUAACUCUGUGCCAGCAGCCGCAGUAAAAC
rnacentral:rRNA from 1 species